rnacentral:rRNA from 1 species
CUUGCCCGCUGGCGGCAGGCCUAACACAUGCAAGUCGAGCGGAUGAAGGGAGCUUGCUCCUGGAUUCAGCGGCGGACGGGUGAGUAAUGCCUAGGAAUCUGCCUGGUAGUGGGGGAUAACGUCCGGAAACGGGCGCUAAUACCGCAUACGUCCUGAGGGAGAAAGUGGGGGAUCUUCGGACCUCACGCUAUCAGAUGAGCCUAGGUCGGAUUAGCUAGUUGGUGGGGUAAAGGCCUACCAAGGCGACGAUCCGUAACUGGUCUGAGAGGAUGAUCAGUCACACUGGAACCGAGACACGGUCCAGACUCCUACGGGAGGCAGCAGUGGGGAAUAUUGGACAAUGGGCGAAAGCCUGAUCCAGCCAUGCCGCGUGUGUGAAGAAGGUCUUCGGAUUGUAAAGCACUUUAAGUUGGGAGGAAGGGCAGUAAGUUAAUACCUUGCUGUUUUGACGUUACCAACAGAAUAAGCACCGGCUAACUUCGUG